rnacentral:rRNA from 1 species
UACGUAGGUGGCAAGCGUUGUCCGGAUUUACUGGGCGUAAAGAGCGCGCAGGCGGUCGUUCAAGUCGCGUGUGAAAGCCCCCGGCUUAACUGGGGGAGGGGUCAUUCGAUACUGUUUAACUUGAAGGCAGGAGAGGGUAGUGGAAUUCCCGGUGUAGUGGUGAAAUGCGUAGAUAUCGGGAGGAACACCAGUGGCGAAGGCGACUACCUGGCCUGUUCUUGACGCUGAGGCGCGAAAGCUGGGGGAGCAAACGGG